CAGUAGCCGCGGGAAUACGGAGGGUGCAAGCGUUAUCCGGAUUUAUUGGGUUUAAAGGGUCCGUAGGCGGACUUAUAAGUCAGUGGUGAAAGCCUGUCGCUUAACGAUAGAACUGCCAUUGAUACUGUAAGUCUUGAGUAUAUUUGAGGUAGCUGGAAUAAGUAGUGUAGCGGUGAAAUGCAUAGAUAUUACUUAGAACACCAAUUGCGAAGGCAGGUUACCAAGAUAUAACUGACGCUGAGGGACGAAAGCGUGGGUAGCGAACAGGAUUAGAUACCCCAGUAGUCCCUGUCUCUUAUAC
rnacentral:rRNA from 1 species